rnacentral:rRNA from 1 species
AAACUGGGUCUAAUACCGGAUAGGAGCGUCCACCGCAUGGUGGGUGUUGGAAAGAUUUAUCGGUUUUGGAUGGACUCGCGGCCUAUCAGCUUGUUGGUGAGGUAAUGGCUCACCAAGGCGACGACGGGUAGCCGGCCUGAGAGGGUGACCGGCCACACUGGGACUGAGACACGGCCCAGACUCCUACGGGAGGCAGCAGUGGGGAAUAUUGCACAAUGGGCGCAAGCCUGAUGCAGCGACGCCGCGUGAGGGAUGACGGCCUUCGGGUUGUAAACCUCUUUCAGUAGGGAAGAAGCGAAAGUGACGGUACCUGCAGAAGAAGCACCGGCUAACUACGUGCCAGCAGCCGCGGUAAUACGUAGGGUGCGAGCGUUAUCCGGAAUUAUUGGGCGUAAAGAGCUCGUAGGCGGUUUGUCGCGUCUGUCGUGAAAGUCCGGGGCUUAACCCCGGAUCUGCGGUGGGUACGGGCAGACUAGAGUGCAGUAGGGGAGACUGGAAUUCCUGGUGUAGCGGUGGAAUGCGCAGAUAUCAGGAGGAACACCGAUGGCGAAGGCAGGUCUCUGGGCUGUAACUGACGCUGAGGAGCGAAAGCAUGGGGAGCGAACAGGAUUAGAUACCCUGGUAGUCCAUGCCGUAAACGUUGGGCACUAGGUGUGGGGACCAUUCCACGGUUUCCGCGCCGCAGCUAACGCAUUAAGUGCCCCGCCU